UCAUGUGCAAACAAGAAUCAAGU
rnacentral:snRNA from 1 species